rnacentral:rRNA from 2 species
UCCUACGGGAGGCAGCAGUGGGGAAUUUUCCGCAAUGGGCGAAAGCCUGACGGAGCAAUACCGCGUGAGGGAGGAAGGCUCUUGGGUCGUAAACCUCUUUUCUCAGGGAAGAAAAAAAUGACGGUACCUGAGGAAUAAGCAUCGGCUAACUCCGUGCCAGCAGCCGCGGUAAUACGGAGGAUGCAAGCGUUAUCCGGAAUGAUUGGGCGUAAAGCGUCCGCAGGUGGCUAUGUGAGUCUGCUGUUAAAGAGUCUAGCUCAACUAGAUAAAAGCAGUGGAAACUACAUGGCUAGAGUGCGUUCGGGGCAGAGGGAAUUCCUGGUGUAGCGGUGAAAUGCGUAGAGAUCAGGAAGAACACCGGUGGCGAAAGCGCUCUGCUAGGCCGCAACUGACACUGAGGGACGAAAGCUAGGGGAGCGAAUGGGAUUAGAUACCCCAGUAGUCCUAGCCGUAAACGAUGGAUACUAGGCGUGGCUUGUAUCGACCCGAGCCGUGCCGUAGCUAACGCGUUAAGUAUCCCGCCUGGGGAGUACGCACGCAAGUGUGAAACUCAAAGGAAUUGACGGGG